GCCGAGAUAGCUCAGACGGCCAGAGCGCCCGACUCAUGAUCGGGAGGCCGGGGGUUCGAUGCCCUCUCUCGGUA
rnacentral:tRNA from 1 species